GAGCUGAAGGCAGAUGCUUAACCAACUGAGCCACGCAGGUGCCGUGAAAACAUCUUUUUUCAAUAAAUAAAUUGCAUAUCCAGAAGUGUACUUGAUGCACUCCAGACCACCACCCUGAUCCUGUUCUGGAUUUCAAAAGACUAGAAGAAACAGCAAGUAAAUGCACGCACAAUAAAGACGUUUGGAGAGCAACCGGGGAAGUCAGUAUGUGUCACGAUCCCAGAUGACAUUGUGGGAUGAUUGUUCCGGCUGGGGCCAACGCUGGCCUUGGGCCACGGACAGCGUCGGUUUUCUUAGAGGCGAGCGGGCAGGUGUUCCGAGGCCUGCAGCUGCCGUUCGUGGGGUUUACAAACGAGGGCGCAGAUGAAGGUGCAGAAGGGGAGUCCAGAAAAGCAUCCUUGUGGGUGUUCUUUACGCGACCUUUAUACCUUCGCCAGGGCUUCGAGCGGUCUCAGAGUAAGACUCGUGGGAUACAAAGGUGCUACGGCUGAGGACCACCUAGGCUUUAGCGACGUGGAGGCCACUGCAGACCCUAACACAUGGAGCUUGGCCCGGGUCGUGGAGACAAAACCUGCCGGAAGCAGGCUCCAGGGGGGCUGCAAACAGCCCGUUUCUGCGUUCUGCUGCCAGGGCCACGGGCUGGAGCGGAAGAGGUGGCGGCGGAGAGCUGCCUCGCUUUAGGAAGGGGGAGACCACUUAUUUUCCAACGGGAACAGCGGCCCGAGCCCAGGAGAGCGUCACGCCGGUGGUGCAGAGAUCCCGCUGCUCGGGUGUUUGGAACUGGAAGACCUGAAAACCCACCACCAGCUCCGCGACUGCGGACACAGCGCUUCAGCCCCUUUGAACUCCCUGCUCCGCCCAGCAGCGCAGCGCUCUACAGCACUGACUCCGGGUACGAUGAGGACAGGGCCCAGAGAUACAGGCACCUGGACUUCUUAACGUGCAGUAAUGGCAGUGGCUUUUCAAUCACCAAAUAUUAAGGACCUUCCGGGUGUCCGGCAGUUCUAGGCCAUGGCAAUGCAGUGACGGUCCCACACGGACCACAUCCCUGCCCAGGCCCAAGGCUGUGCAGUCAGAGCCCAGAGCCGCUCUCCCAGCAGCCAGCGGGAAGCUAAGGGUGGCCCCAGGGUGGGCCAGGACUCACAAGAGAGCGCCAACCAACACAAACGGGCAGAGCUGUUUUUAUUCAACUGUCUUAUUACAAAACUAUCAAAACA